CCUACGGGGGGCUGCAGUGGGGAAUAUUGCACAAUGGGCGCAAGCCUGAUGCAGCCAUGCCGCGUGUGUGAAGAAGGCCUUCGGGUUGUAAAGCACUUUCAGCGGGGAGGAAGGCGUUAAGGUUAAUAACCUUGUCGAUUGACGUUACCCGCAGAAGAAGCACCGGCUAACUCCGUGCCAGCAGCCGCGGUAAUACGGAGGGUGCAAGCGUUAAUCGGAAUUACUGGGCGUAAAGCGCACGCAGGCGGUCUGUCAAGUCGGAUGUGAAAUCCCCGGGCUCAACCUGGGAACUGCAUUCGAAACUGGCAGGCUAGAGUCUUGUAGAGGGGGGUAGAAUUCCAGGUGUAGCGGUGAAAUGCGUAGAGAUCUGGAGGAACACCGGUGGCGAAGGCGGCCCCCUGGACAAAGACUGACGCUCAGGUGCGAAAGCGUGGGGAGCAAACAGGAUUAGAUACCCGUGUAGUC
rnacentral:rRNA from 1 species